AUGCAUUCAGAGGUCCUGGUGGAAAAUAACAAGAAAAUUUGGAGGUCUAAGAUUCCACUCGCAGUCAAAAUAUUUAUGUGGUAUCUUUGAAGGGGAUUUGUACUUACCAAAGACAACCUCGCCCAUCGCAAUUCUCGAGGAAAUAAGAAGUGUGGCUUGUGUACUCACGACGACACAAUGAAGGACCUCUUUUUCCGGUGCACGUUUGUGUGUUCUAUGUGGUCAGUCAUACAAAUAGCGUCCAAUUUGUAUCCUCUCAUAAGUGUUGCCAAUAUUUUUUGGUCACUGAUUGGACGGUAUUUCAAAUAG
rnacentral:rRNA from 1 species